AAUCAACGCUGGCGGCGUGCCUCAGACAUGCAAGUCGAACGCGAAAUUUCCCUUCGGGGAGAAAGUAGAGUGGCGCACGGGUGAGUAACACGUAGGUAAUUUGCCUUUGGGUGGGGAAUAACUCAGGGAAACUUGAGCUAAUACCGCAUAAUGCAGCGGCUCGACAUCGAGACAGUUGUUAAAGCGGGGGAUUGGAGCAAUCCGACCUCGCGCCUAAAGAGAAGCCUGCGGCAGAUUAGCUAGUUGGUAAGGUAAUGGCUUACCAAGGCGACGAUCUGUAACCGGCCUGAGAGGGCGGUCGGUCACACUGACACUGACAUACGGGUCAGACUCCUACGGGAGGCAGCAGUCGGGAAUUUUGGGCAAUGGGCGCAAGCCUGACCCAGCAACGCCGCGUGAAGGAUAGAAAUUUUUCGGAAUGUAAACUUCGCAAGAACAGGAGAAUAAGUGU
rnacentral:rRNA from 1 species